UACGAAGGGGCGAGCGUUGUUCGGAAUCACUGGGCGUAAAGGGCGCGUAGGCGGCCCUCCUUGUCGCGUGUGAAAGCCCCGGGCUCAACCUGGGAACGGCGCGCGAGACGGGGGGGCUGGAGUUCGGGAGAGGAGCGUGGAAUUCCCAGUGUAGAGGUGAAAUUCGUAGAUAUUGGGAAGAACACCGGUGGCGAAGGCGGCGCUCUGGACCGAGACUGACGCUGAGGCGCGAAAGCGUGGGGAGCAAACAGG
rnacentral:rRNA from 1 species